AAGACUAUACUUUCACGGAUCAUUUCUGUAGUUUGUCACCGGGGAAGUUUCUCUGAACGUGAAGCUUUUAAAGGAAGCUGUAUGUACGUUCUGGCUUUUCACUGAUUUUUUUCUGA
rnacentral:snoRNA from 1 species